rnacentral:rRNA from 2 species
GUUCCCGCCCCUUCCAGUGCCGACAACUAAAGGCAUUAAAGCAUUCCCGCCUGGGGGAGUACGACCCGCAAGGUUGAAACUCAAAAGAAAAUGACGGGGGCCCGCACAAGCGGUGGAGCAUGUGGUUUAAUUCGAAGCAACGCGAAGAACCUUACCAGGUCUUGACAUCUUUUGAUCACCUGAGAGAUCAGGUUUCCCCUUCGGGGGCAAAAUGACAGGUGGUGCAUGGUUGUCGUCAGCUCGUGUCGUGAGAUGUUGGGUUAAGUCCCGCAACGAGCGCAACCCUUAUGACUAGUUGCCAGCAUUUAGUUGGGCACUCUAGUAAGACUGCCGGUGACAAACCGGAGGAAGGUGGGGAUGACGUCAAAUCAUCAUGCCCCUUAUGACCUGGGCUACACACGUGCUACAAUGGAUGGUACAACGAGUUGCGAGACCGCGAGGUCAAGCUAAUCUCUUAAAGCCAUUCUCAGUUCGGACUGUAGGCUGCAACUCGCCUACACGAAGUCGAAUCGCAGAUCGCAGCUGAUC